rnacentral:rRNA from 1 species
CCUACGGGUGGCUGCAGUGAGGAAUAUUGGUCAAUGGGCGCGAGCCUGAACCAGCCAAGUAGCGUGAAGGAUGACUGCCCUACGGGUUGUAAACUUCUUUUAUAAAGGAGUAAAGUGAGGCACGUGUGCCUUUUUGCAUGUACUUUAUGAAUAAGGAACGGCUAACUCCGUGCCAGCAGCCGCGGUUAUACGGAGGUUCCGAGCGUUAUCCGGAUUUAUUGGGUGUAAAGGGAGCGUAGAUGGGUGGUUAAGUCAGUUGUGAAAGUUUGCGGCUCAACCGUAAAAUUGCAAUUGAUACUGGCAGUCUGGAGUGCAGUUGAGGUAGGCGGAAUUCGUGGUGUAGCGGUGAAAUGCGUAGAUAUCACGAAGAACUCCGAUUGCGAAGGCAGCUUACUAAACUGCAACUGACAUUGAUGCUCGAAAGUGUGGGUAGCAAACAGGAUUAGAUACCCCGGUAGUC